AUGCCCUCCGCAAGGACUGCCCCUCUUCUCUGGCGCUCCUCGGCCGUCCCCGACCCUUUGCCUGGUCGCCAGGGACGUGCUGCUCCACGCCUGCUCCAGCCGGGGGCCGUCGCCCGCCGCGCCGGCUCUGGCGCUUUGCUCCGGCCAAUCCCGGGCUGCUCGCCUGCUCGGCCGGGCUCUGCCGCCCAGGACUUGCUGUCAACAAACAACAAUCAGGCUGGGACAGGGGUUUUACAAAGCGAUGGACCAACUAUUACAGAAAAGGUAAGAGCUUUGGCUGGAAAACCCAACAUAGACGGGGUGUGCUAUAGUGGCUAUGUCAUCAACAACUUCAGGUUCCACACGAUGAGUCAUGAGUCAGGGCAUGUCACACAAAAUAGUGGUGUAGUGAACAUUGCAGAAAAUGGUGUUAGACAUUAUGGCAGAUUAAGUGGCAUCUUUGAAUUGUCAUACAAUGAUUACAAGGUGGUGUUCUUUAAUUGUGAUUGGUAUGAUGUCUACCAUGAAGUUGGCAUUCAAACAGAUGAGUUUGGGUUCACUCUUGUGAACAAGUCUGGGAAAAUACACACAGGGGAUGAGCUAGAAGAUGAUCCUUUUGUAUUUUCCUCCCAAGUGCAGCAGAUUUUCUUUGUUCAAGAUCCAAAAGCUGAACUAUGGAAUGUAGUAGUGGAAGUCAGGCCUCAUGAUCUUUUUGACAUGGGUGCUGAAGAAUCAUUGGAUGAAACAGAUUAG
rnacentral:rRNA from 1 species